CGUGUCAGGUCGCUAUAAAAGGUAAGUCUCGGGAAACUACUGCCGUACAGCUUCAUCGAACGACAAAACUAAAGAAAUGGCACGAGUCGCAAUCAUUGCUUUGUUGUUGUUAGUCGUCAUUGUGAGCACAAUGGCUGCAGACGAGAAGUUCGAGCAGCAUUCCGCUCUUAAACGGGACCUCGACAGAUUUAUCCGUCGUCGUAAGCCAACAUGUUACUGGCACGUAACCAAGGAGGGCUACCGCAGACGUCACUGCAUAGGGCGGCAAUAACCGCACUACCACGGCCCCAUACGGUCACCAAGGACGCCAAUGGUGAUGCAAACAAAGGGGGGGGGAGCUCAGCUCUACAUCUGAUUGGUUUAUCUUCAAACAAGACACUUUAGUUCAUCCAAAAGAUGCAUUAACCUGACUCACGAAUGCACGAUCGAUCCCACGGUCAGUGCAUCCCAAAUGCACUGAAGUCAACGAUUGAUUCAAAUUACAACUCAAGCACACGUGGACUAGGUUGUCUCUGCAACGAUUGUUUUGAUAUCAAGUGAUUUGUUUGGAGAUUUUGCAUCACAGACGAGAUGUAUCGACCGACACCAGAAUUCGUAGAAGACUUCAGAUUAUUUCCGUAAUCAUAUCUGUAGCUAUCUGAAUCCCAGAGCUAAACAAUAAAAUGGUUCAAUCAGAAGCAA